rnacentral:rRNA from 1 species
UACGGAGGAUCCGAGCGUUAUCCGGAUUUAUUGGGUUUAAAGGGUGCGCAGGCGGGAUGUUAAGUCGGCGGUGAAGUUUUGCAGUUCAACUGUAAAAGUGCCUUCGAUACUGGCUUUCUUGAGUGUGGAUGAAGUAGGCGGAAUUUGUGGUGUAGCGGUGAAAUGCUUAGAUAUCACGAGGAACUCCGAUUGCGCAGGCAGCUUACUAAACCACUACUGACGCUCAUGCACGAAGGCGUGGGGAUCAAACAGGAUUAGAUA